GCGCAGAGGUGAAGUCUCGGCUAAAGCCGGCUUAGGGCACUGUGGCCUGAAUAAACCAAAGAGAAGAUCCACCGUGCCAGCUUCGUGGGCCCCCUGGGAACCGCGCCUGGGAGCGGAUGCUGCUGCCCAGGCGGAACGUGCCGAGUCCCGCGCUCCGAGGCAGCGGGGCACCGCCCGCCUCCGCCCCGCCCCUCGUCUUCGGCUGGUCCAAUCCCACGGCCUUCAUGUAAAUGAGGCUCUGAGAGCGAGCCUACCACCGCCCAGCAGCGUUUUGAUUCAUUGUUAAAAUGUAAAGGCCGUGACCCUGGUACUCGCACCCCGCAGCCCCAGUGCGUGGAAACCCGAGCCCAGGCCCCUUCUAGAAGGUCAGCCAGUGGCUCACAGGAGCUGCCCUGGCCUGGCUCACCCAACAUGGAGCAUGAGGCUGAGGAGGUCUCCUGGGAACCCUUCGAGGCCAAUAUGCUUACCCAGAGCUGCUGUCAAAACUGCCUCCACCCUGAGGAGGCCCAUGGAGCAAGACACCAGGAGCUGGGGAGCCCUUCCAGUGCUGAGGCGCCCUACUGCGACCUGCCCCGCUGCCCACCAGCCCCUGAGGACCUGCUCGGCGCCUCCACCUCCGAUUGCCAGGGGCCCAAGAGGGGCCUGUCCCUGACAGCAGGGCUUCCUGAGGAGGACCCCACAGCUGCCCCCAGGAGCAGGCACCAGGAGCUGGAGGCAGUGCCCUAUCUGGAGGGCCUGGCCCCCUCCCCGAGUGGCAGCUGCUACGAGGACCCCAACUCUGACACCAGCUGCAGCCCUGGCACUUCCACCCAUGACACCGGCAGGUCGUCCUCUGUGGACUGCGACACUGUGGAGAGGUGGGCGGAAGUCCCCAGCUGGGACCUGCUCGCGAUGAUCCCGCAGAGGCCCCAGGAGGGGCAAAGAGCCGAAGGUGCCCGAAGGGCCACCAGGUCCCCUACAAGAGGAGACACUGCAGGCCAGAAAAAGGAUGAUUCGGGCGCUGGGAGCCGCUGUGCCGCACAGCACUGGGCCAAGCUCCGGGGAGAAGGCCGGUACUUCUCCUUGGAGCGACAGCACUCAGCCCCUGCCCAGGCUUCCUCUGCGACACCACAGCACAGACCUCACAGCGCCACCACCCAGGCCUCUGCUCAGGCUGCUUCAGCACAGCGCGAAGCCCCCCGGGCCUCCUCCCCCCACCGAGUCGCUCAGAAGGACAGCCCUAGGCCCUCUUCCACCCAGCAGGACGCCCCCAGGGCCUCCCUCACCCAGCGGAAUACCCAGGCGACGUCAUUGCCCGCCAGAGUGAGCCCGCGGGCUAGCCCCGGAACCUCAUCCACCCAAGGACACCGUCCUCAACCGUCCUCUCCCCUCAGAGCUGCCCAGGAAGACAACCUCGGAACCUCUGCUCAACAGGACAGCCCACAGUCCUCAGUUCCCACUUCUCAGCGGGAGACCCCCAGGACAUCCUGUGCCCAGCGGGACAACCCCAGAGCCUCCUCCCCGAGCAGAGCCACCCAGCGGGACAACCCCAGAGCAUCUUCCCCCAGCAGAACCACCCAGAGGGACACCCCCAGAACCUCCUGUGCUCAGCGGAACAACCCCAGAACUUCCUCCCCGAGCAGAGCCACCCAGAGGGACACCCCCAGAGCAUCCUCCCCCAACAGAACCACC
rnacentral:lncRNA from 1 species